UCCGGUUUGUCACCGGCAGUCUCGCAUGAGUCCCCAACUGAAUGCUGGCAACAUGCGACGGGGGUUGCGCCCGUUGCGGGACUUAACCCAACAUCUCACGACACGAGCUGACGACAGCCGUGCACCACCUGUGAAGGUGCCCCGAAGGGCUGCCGUAUUUCUACGGCAUUCCAGUGCAUGUCAAGCCCUGGUAAGGUUCUGCGCGUUGUAUCGAAUUAAACCACAUGCUCCACCGCUUGUGCAGGCCCCCGUCAAUUCCUUUGAGUUUCGGUCUUGCGACCGUACUCCCCAGGCGGAGUGUUUCACGCGUUAGCUGGGCCCCUGAUCCACGUAGACCAAGGGCGAACACUCAUCGUUUACGGCAUGGACUAC
rnacentral:misc_RNA from 1 species